UAGCUCAGUGGUAGAGCACUUGCCUAGCAAGCACAAGGCCCUGGGUUCGAUCCUCAG
rnacentral:tRNA from 1 species